rnacentral:rRNA from 1 species
CCCUUAGAUGUUCUGGGCGGCCCGCGCACUACAAUGGCGCUUUCAGCGAGUUCCUAUGUUGAAUUUUCCUGGGUAUUCUUGGAGGCGGCGUCUUGACUUGGGAUAGAUCCUUGUAAUUGUUGGUUUUGAACGAGGAAUUCCUUGUAAUCGCGGUUGAUCAGCUCGCGUUGAAUACGUCCCUGCCCUUUGUACACACCGCCCGUCGCUCCUACCGAUGAAUCGUCCGGUGAAGUUCACAGAGUGGCGGUUCGUGGAGUUGCUCGCGAAGUGAAAUGGACCUCACGAUUUAGAGGAAGGAGAAGUCGUAACA